UACAAUAAUAAUAAAAGCAUUAAGUGGAUGCCUUGGCAUUAAUUUUAUUUUUAGGACGUAAAAAAUGCGAAAAGCUAUAUUAAAUAAUAAUAUAUUUUGAAAUAUAGAUUUCCUAGAGAAAACUUUUUCUUUGUGAAAAUUUUAAAAGCAGUGAAUUGAAAUAUCUAAGUAACUGUUAAAAAAAUCAAACGAGAUUCCGUGAGUAAUGACGAGUGAAAAUGGAAAAUAGGUUUAUAAAAAUAAAUAAAAUUUAUUCGAAUAAUUUUAAAAAAUUAACGUAAAAAGGUUAAAGUCCUGUAGAAUAAUUUAUAUUUUUAUAAUAGUAAAAAGAGGUAUGUGUAAUCUUUUUUGAAUAUUGGGGAACCACCCUCAAAACCUAGUAAAAAUUAAUGAUCGAUAGUGUACAAGUACUGUAAAGGAAAGGUGAAAAAGAACUUUUGAGUUUGAAAUAAUUCUGAAACUUAAUGUUAACAAUCAAUUGGAACUUUUUAUUAAAGUGACAGUGUACCUUUUGCAUAAUGGGCCAGCAAGUUUAUUUUUAUAGCAAGCUUAAUUUUUUAAAGUAGGCGCAGAUAAAUCAAGUUUUAAAAAGCAAUAUAGUUAUAAAAAUAAGACCCGAAACCGAGUGAUCUAACCAUGAACAGAUUGAAAAAUAGGUAAAACUAUUUGGAGGAUCGAACUCACAUGUGUGGCAAAACAUGGAGAUGAUUUGUGGUUAGGAGUGAAAGGCUAAUCAAACUCGGAGAUAGCUGGUUUUCCGCGAAAUCUAUUGAAGUAGAGCAUUUAAAAUCUUUUUUUGGGGUAGAGCACUCAUUGAGCUAGGGGGCGUAAAAACUUACUGAACUCUUAGAAACUCCGAAUACAAAAAAAAGUUAUUUAAAUAGACAGACAUUAGGCGCUAAGGUCUAUUGUCAAGAGGGAAACAGCCCAGAUUGAUCGCUAAGGUCUCUAAAUAAUAUUCUAAGUGAAAAAGGAAGUGAAAAAAUAAUUACAACCAGUAGGUAGGCUUGGAAGCAGCCAUCCUUUAAAGAAAGCGUAAUAGCUCAUUGGUCUAGUUUUUUUGCGCCUAAAAUGUAUCGAGACUUAAGAAAUUUACCGAAGCGGCAAGUUUUAUUUAUAAUAAAACGGUAGCGGAACAUUCUGUAUGUUGAUAAAGAUAUGUUGUAAAAUAUAUUGAAGAUAUCAGAAAAGAAAAUGCUGGCAUUAGUAACAAAAAAUAAUGAAUAAGAAUCAUUAUCACCGUAAAUCCAAGGGUUUCUAUGUUAAAAUGUAUUUCAUAGAGUGAAACGGCCCCUAAGAAAGAUUG
rnacentral:ncRNA from 1 species